ACCCAAAACCCUAGCCCUUGUCUAUAUAAAGGGGGCUCCAAUUGUGGAUGCCUCAUAUGUUCAUCCUUUGUUGAUUUUAUUUUUUCUAUAGAGCUCUCUCUUCUCUCCUCUUCCUCCUCUAGAUCUUCUCUUCCUUUGGAGCAUCCAAGAGUUUUGAAGAAGAAGGGAGAAAUCAGCCUUGAAGAUCCUUACAAGCUAGC
rnacentral:lncRNA from 1 species